AUCUCAUUUCUGACUCUGCGGAUCGUGAUACUUGUCGUUGCAUAAGAUGAGAACGUCCGAAGACUUGUGAUCCCAACAAUGUUUGCUUCUUGUUGUCAAUACAAUAAUUCAAGAACUUGUCGUAUAACCUUUCCAAUAUUAAUUAUACGAAAUUUUUAUUGCGAGAAAUAUUUUCCAGAGACUUUCAGACAUUGAUUCCGUCGUGACCGAUUUUGACCCCAACAUACAGUUGUUGAUUAUCCAAUUUCCUAAUAUACAGACCAUCCACACUUUCCGAUCCUCGAUUAGUCCAGUCCCAUUAUAACUACGAAUCUUGUAAAUCGGAAUUCCUGUAAAUCGUGUAUGGUAGAUUCUAAACAUCGGGUUUAACGAUCAUUUAAGAUACAUACCAUGUAAAACGGAAUCAAUAGCUCAAUUAUUUAGCAUCCAACCGACGAAACCGAGUUAGCUCAAUGCGAUGAUAGCGAGGAAGAAGAACGAAUCCGACGAUUGAGAGAGGAAUGAAUUCAGGUGAGAGAAGAAGAGAGAGACAAUAGUAACAGUCCCGAUUUGGAAUGGUUUGAUUGGUCAUUCAUUUGGUGAGGUAGAGAAAUGGCACUUUCGACAUUAACCAUCCAUAGAAAAAGUAUGAAAAUCUAUAUUAUAAUAGAUCACUUUUUGCUCACUUCUAAGGCUAUCCACGUGGCAAAACGUGUGGGCCCCAGUUAGAUUUUUUUUUCUUUGAUCAUGAGUUUUGCUUUUAUAUUAAAACGGGCUUCGUAAAACAAAUUAAACAUAAAGGCCCGAUUGACCUUUAGAUCUUUACGCAUCGUUUGGCUUUAUAACGUAAGCUUCGUCUUCAAAAAAAAACAUCUAGGGUUUCCUUCAUCUUCAAAAAUUGCAUCGCAUCCUCUUCCAGCAAACCUUAUAACUUCUGAUUGAGUUUCAUUGUUGUCAUUGCAGAGAGGGAGAUUCUAUUAAAUGGUGAGUCUUCUGAAUGCUUUCAUAUCGCACUUUCCUUCUGUCUCGAUCUACAUAUGAAAUAAAACUGUUUCUGUGCAGCGCCACCAUAGAUUAUCUUCGUUUUGGUGAUUUUAAUCCCAUAAGCUUUGGUUUAGAUUUGAUAAUCCAUACAUUCACCAAGAUCUCUGCUCUGUAUGUUUCAUGUCAUGGGUUUACUGGAAUUAGUUGUCUACACAACAUCCUAAACUGAGAGAUCAGAAAAAAAAAAUGGUUGGUGAAGAAGCUUUAAGUGAAACACGAGAAGAUUUUGAAUCUGAGCGAGUGGAUGAACGGAGAGGUACUCUAAAAGCUAUCUGCCGUAAAUGUGGCUCAUCAGAAGUAACAUUAAGUAUGAUUAUGUUUCCGAAUUGUUAACUCAUAUUUCAGCUUCCAGUUGUUGUUCGUCAAAUAAGUUCUGUCCAGGAAACCUGUACUUAAACUCCACACCAGGCAUAGAUUCUUUUUCGACACCAGCCUCCCUUAAAUAACAGCGUUUGUAAACAGGGUGGGAGGUGAAUCAUCCCAAUUUUAUGUUCCAAACGGUGUAGAGGAGGAUCUCCCUAUCUGCUGAAGAGCUAACUGGGAAGGAAUUUGUGUUCCAGAUACGUGUGUCACACCCUUCAACUUCACAAGGAGGACAGUGAGAACACUCUUCCAAACAAUGAAGUUAACGUAGGAUUGGAAGCAUCACCUUCGGGGCCGUCUGUUUUGGGAGACAAGGGCAGCGAGGUUUGUGCUACAGCAGAUCCUCCAGAGAUUGCAGACCCUCAUAACAACCGCAAGCGCCACCGUGAGUGAUUCGAAUUAUGUAUUCGUAUCAGCCCUUCAAUGUCUUUUUUAUGCGCUUAAAAAAACUACUAUAAAUGGUUAACCGAGAAAAAGCUGUUUUAAAAGCGUAGAUUGUUCGUUCUGUUUUCGAUUUCUAAACGUCUUUGUUUUUAUAUCGUACAAACCAUCAAAUUUCCAUUGAAGGAACAUGCACAGACGAUUAGAAUCACGACCAUUGAAUUGAUUGGUGUAACAUGAUUACCCCACAUUAAAUCUUAGAAAUUGAACUAAAACAUACAUAGCAGAUGAGCUUUCAUAUAUGCGGCCGAUUCAGGGGUACUAUAACCCUCUCUGGUUUUCGUUUUAGAUCCUUUAACACCGUCGGCAUUUAAUAAGAAUGCUAAUUAAUUAACACUAUAACUAGACUCUGAUCCACGCGCCAGCGCGGAUAUGAAUUUUCAGUUUUUAAUUAUUUAUUUUAUUAAAUGAUGUAUUUGUAAUAUUCGU